GGUUUUGGAACCGCUAAGCACCCCACACGUGCCCUUUUUGUAUUGGUCGUCUCUCUCUUCGUGGUUUUAUUUUUCUGUCUCAGAUCCACAGUUCCGAAUGAUCUCGAAUCUUCUCGCCAUGAACAACACCGUGCUGAACUGCUAAGGUUUGAAGAUGAAGAGGUUGAAGAGAGCUAUCAAAGGCUGAGGGAAAAAGAGAGAAGCCAUGCGUAUCUGCGUAACUGUGCUAAGGCUUACUGCUCUACCAUGGACUAUACUGAUCUCAUCCCCCGUCUACGCUUGAUCAUGGCAAUGGAUUGUGCAGGUGGAGCAAAGACAUAAAGCUUGUGGAGUUGGACAUAAAGCUUGUGGAGCAAUCAAAUGUCAUUGAUGUGCCUGGGUUGUCUUAUAGAAACAUCCCUUCUAUUGCCUCAACUGCUAUUGGAGAGAUGGCUAUAUCCAAAGGAAGACAGGGAAGAGAAGCACAAAACCUAUUGAGGGUAUAUGGGGCGAAUAUUCAUCUUAAGGGAGUUGAAACAGAUGUCUUAGUUACUGCAUAUGAACAUAUUCUCAUCAAGCAAGUCUCACCAACGUUAACCUUGUUGUUGUUCAACAAUGUCUUUGGGUCUCAUGUGUUUUGUAUAUUGUGCAUAUGACAUAUUCUCAUGUUUUUCUUUCAUGGUUGUUUAAAAAUUUUAAUUAUAAAUUUGU